rnacentral:lncRNA from 1 species
GUUUUAGUUCCGAACUCAAGUUACUCCAGUCAAGUGAUUAAAUCGUAAAAGUUAGUUGUUUUGACUGAGCAGUCCAAUGGCCAAUGCGGUUUUUGGACUAUGAGAUCCUCUGAUAUAUACUAUGAUGAGCCAAUAACAUGCAUAGAUUAUGCAUUAGGCAUUGCACAAGUCAGUGUCUAGGUCAGAAUAUAAAGUUGCUACUUCCGUCAACUCAAGUUACUCAAGUCAAGUGAUUAAUCGUAAGAGUUAGUUGUUUUGACCGUCAAAACAAAUAACUUUGAUGGAAUAUUCCAAAUUACAAUGGCAAUUAUGCAUCACAAAUUCACAAUAUUACUUGUAUUUCAAUGAUUCAUCCAGGCCCAAGACAUAAAGCCGCCUGAAAGCUGUGUAGCAAUCAUUCCAUUGCUGACCCAUAGGAUGGUAAUCACAUACAUGAUUGGCUUAAUCUAGAAUCAUGGAUACCUUUCAUUGAGCAAGACCUGCCAGCAGAGCUCACUGGAGCAGGGAGACAUCCCGUCAUCAUUUUGGCAACUGACAAAGCUUGAGAUUCAGAUCCUGCUGAACGAUGUUAAGCAGUCGAUUAACCACAUGCAGGGGACGCUGAACACCAUGCAGGGGCAGUGUAUUGAGUUGCAGACUGCCAUAUCUAAG